AGAGUUUGAUCCUGGCUCAGGAUGAACGCUGGCGGCGUGCCUAACACAUGCAAGUCGAACGGGUUAAGAGAAAUUUUCGGAUGGACCUUAACUUAGUGGCGGACGGGUGAGUAACGCGUGAUAACCUGCCUCACACUGGGGGAUAGCAGCUGGAAACGGCUGGUAAUACCGCAUAAGACCCGUUGCCGCAUGGCAGUGGGGUAAAAGAUUUAUCGGUGUGAGAUGGAUCCGCGUCUGAUUGCCAGUUGGCGGGGUAACGGCCCACCAAAGCGACGAUCAGUAGCCGGCCUGAGAGGGUGACGGCCACAUUGGGACUGAGACACGGCCCAAACUCCUACGGGAGGCAGCAGUGGGGAAUAUGCACAAUGGGCGCAAGCCUGAUGCAGCAACGCCGCGUGAGUGAAGAAGUAUUUCGGUAUGAAAGCUCUAUCGGCAGGGAAGAAAGGCCCGAAAGGGAGAUGACGGUACCUGACUAAGAAGCCCGGCUGACUACGUGCCAGCAGCCGCGGUAAUACGUAGGGGGCAAGCGUUAUCCGGAUUACUGGGUGUAAAGGGAGCGCAGACGGCAGUGCAAGUCUGAUGUGAAAGCCCGGGGCUCAACCCGGAACUGCAUUGGAAACUGUACAGCUCGAGUGUCGGAGAGGUAAGCGGAAUUCCUAGGUAGCGGUGAAAUGCGUAGAUAUUAGGAGGAACACCGGUGGCGAAGGCGGCUUACUGGACAUAACUGACGUUGAGGCUCGAAAGCGUGGGGAGCAAACAGGAUUAGAUACCCUGGUAGUCACGCUGUAAACGAUGAAUACUAGUGUGGG
rnacentral:rRNA from 1 species